GAAGCGGAAAGGGCACGGCGGGGUGCUGGGACAGAGCUGGCCCCGGGCGGUCGUUGAGGGUCCGGGGACUGUGGGUACCACUUUCUUGAAACGGAGGUGAGCUCCUUGGGCCUGACCUGACCACCUUUACCCGGUGCCUCCGAGCCCACCCUGCGUGGGAAACCGCCCUGAAGGAGCAUGGCUGUUUCCACAAACUCUAGUGUUUUGUCACUAUCACAUAAAAUACAUUGAGAAUAAGACCCAUGACUUAACUCUCAACCACUAAUUUGACUUCGUUUUUACUCCUACACUGAUACGCAAAUAAAAGCUUCCAUUUCUGUUCAUGUGUGUACUAAAAGUAACAAGAACAACAAAGAAACUUCUGGACUGUGUUAGCAAGAACCUUUGAACAUUAAUCCUCACAGUGUUUUUCAGGUAACAUUAAGUUCAAUGUUUUUACAUUAAGAUAUACUAACGUAUCUAUUUUUACUUAAUUUUGCUGUCCCUUUCACAUUUAGUUCUUUGAAAAGCACUUACCAAAUCAUACUACUUUUCAUUCUUUUUACUAGAAUUACAUGACAUUAUUCUGUAUUAGGUAAAAGUUCAGUUUUUCAAUUCCAAAGAGAAAUUCUUAGUAAAUUUGAUUUUUUUGUAACCCUUUUCAGCCUGUUGGGUUGUAAACAUUGGAGCUCUUCUAUCCUAGAGAUAAACAUUAUUUUUAAAUAUAAUCAAUUGGGGCAUACGG
ensembl:lncRNA